rnacentral:pre_miRNA from 1 species
CAAAACCAAAAAACUAGCUUGAAUUAAAAAACGGAUAUAUGAUAUUCAUUCACAUCACUACGAGUAAAAAUUUUACUCGUAGAUUUCCUCAUGAGUAAAAAUUUUACUGAGAGUAAAAUUUAUACUCAUGGUGACGUGGAUGAAUUUCGGAUGUCCAAUUUUCGAUUCAACGGUAGUUUCCAAGUUUUA